rnacentral:rRNA from 1 species
UACGAAGGGAGCUAGCGUUGUUCGGAAUCACUGGGCGUAAAGCGCACGUAGGCGGAUGUGUCAGUCAGGGGUGAAAUCCCGGAGCUCAACUUCGGAACUGCCUUUGAUACAGCACGUCUUGAGUCCGAUAGAGGUGGGUGGAAUUUCUAGUGUAGAGGUGAAAUUCGUAGAUAUUAGGAAGAACACCGGUGGCGAAGGCGGCCCACUGGAUCGGUACUGACGCUGAGGUGCGAAAGCGUGGGGAGCAAACAGG